ensembl:snoRNA
AUUCCCAGCGAUGGCUGACCAGGGCUUCCUGACCUAUCCAGGCCUCUGCUGUGGGGGCGAUGGCCAGUCCUGGUGUCUGAGUGAUU